rnacentral:tRNA from 1 species
GCGUCGGUGGUGUAGCGGUUAGGACACUCGCCAUUCAUGCACAUGGUCCGGGGUUCGAAUCCCGGCCGACGCA